AGGGGCAUUUGUGCAAAUAUUAAUUUUAGUAGGAUAUUCAUAUAAUUUCGAAAUUUAGAAGAGUAUUCAAACAAAAAAAAAAAAUCCUUUUUAAUUUUAUUAGCCAGGCCUAAGCACUAAAUAGCAAAAUCCAUGGGUCCGGCCUUGAUCUCUCAUUCUUUCUGGGCGCCAAAUUCUUAAGCCCCCAAACCCAUCCCAU
rnacentral:lncRNA from 1 species